rnacentral:tRNA from 1 species
AGUAAGGUGCCUGAUAAAAGGAUAACUUUGAUAGAGUUAAACAUGUGAAACACCCCACUCUUGCUG